GGGGAUGUAUUUGGUUUCGACAGUACUUCUGAAGUAUAAAUAGCGAGUAGUGGAUGGUCGCUUUGGCCACUAUAAAAAAGCGAAAAUAAAAAUAAACGCUGAUAAUAAUAGAGAAUUAGCAUACGCUGCUGCUUAAGUUUAAGCAGCCCGCCAAUCUAAAACUUCCUACGGUUUUAGAUAAGGUGAUGAUUUUGUAGGAUAACAAAUUAAGUCUUUGUCAUAAGACUUAAGGGUAUUUUAAUGACUACCUAAAAGAUAAGUUUGUUUGUUAAUUUACUUUUAGGGAAAUUUUAUAACAAACUGCACUCGGAGAAGUUUAUAUGGAUGGAUUAUUGGACAGGAGUUCGACUCUCCUCAUCUCCACCA
rnacentral:tmRNA from 1 species